rnacentral:lncRNA from 1 species
GGCUGUUGGAGGUGAAACUCUGAAUAUUUGGGAAAUACAUCCAGAAGGAAGUGGCUGGGAUAUGACUCAUGCAGCCCUCUGAACCCCGAUGGGGGUUUCACUGUCACAUAAACACCAGCGUUCUACGACUGUGGUCUCUUCCACUUGGCAGCUUUCAUUCAUCUGAGACACGGCUACUAUUCUGUAGGGUCCCGAGAAGGAACCUCGACAGUUGUAUUUUCAGUUUUGAAGGACAGAGUUCAUUGAAUUUGGCCCUCAAAACAAUCAGCAGAAAUGGACUGGGUCCCCAUGAGGGCAGACAGGUGGAGUCCCCCCCAGAGUUCCAAGCAGAGCAGAGUUCUUUCAGGUGAGGCCUCCAAGUUUAAGGACAGACAGCAACAGAUAGAGACAGCAACAACAUCCAGCAGAAACUGACUGGGGAAGUCUGAGCAUCAGCUGGAGUUCCCCACUGAGCUUUCUCCACAAGGCUGAGUUUAUGCUGAGCUUCCCACAGUUGGCCUUUUGCCAUGGGACAAACAAUGGUCACCUGGUUGGAAACGGUUCACCUUCUAGCUAUCCUUAAGGGCACUGUGUUUUACUCUUGGGCUGUUUUGCUGUUCUCUUCCCUCCAUGCCACAGUGUGAAAUGGGGGGAGGGAGCAACUCCACUUCUAGAGCGAGCCUCUCCACGAGUUCAGACAACACUUGACGAACACUUGACGAUUAACUAACGUAACAGAUUACAGCUUCCUGGAAAAACCUCUGGUGACGAAGAAAUACCUAGUAUCAGCUUUUCCUCCUUUGUCCACUUCACUCUCUGCCCUUCCGGGUCAAGGUUCAACCAAGCAGAAAGAACUGUUAAGAUCAGGUUCAGCUUUCACACGGGAGACAUCAGGACUGGGUCAGUGAGAGCCCAGGCUCACCUGGUGACUUUCAGGAAGAAUGCUGGGUUCUUCGAGCCCCUUCCUGCUUCCUAAGGUGGCUCCCUCCAGUCGAGGGCCGGUACAGUGCACAGGCCCUCAAGUGUGUUUCCAAGUGUGGAGGAAAGUUCACUCAGAACAGAGAGGAGGAGAAAAGCCAGACCCACCCUACCCUGAUCCUCUUGGUACCUCGCUGGCUUCUGUAGGGCCAGCAGGGGAUUUGUGUGGGUGUGGGGAGGUCAGCGGUGCUGGCUUAGGGAGAGGAGGCUAGACACAAGGUUAGAGGCAGCUGGCAGCUCCAGGCUCAGAGGAGGGUCAGUGGGGCCUGGGAACACAGUGGCCCUCGGGGUGACUCAGACCCAGCCGGUGGGAGAAGGACACACACAGCUAGGCGCUUCUACAACUGUACUAUAGAGCUGGGCAACACGGCCUGGGAGACUAACAACCAACCUGGCUCCCUGCCCAUAUCCCGGCUCUGUGGGAACCCUUUUUGCCCAUCCCAGACAUCUGGAGGCUUCUGCUCUCCACUAUUGCUUCCAGCAGAGCACAGCUGAGGUACUUUCUCUACAGCCCCAUGCCCUCUGAACCAUCCCAGGUGUACCACGUCC